GAUGAACGCUAGCGGCAGGCUUAACACAUGCAAGUCGAGGGGUAUAGGCUUUCGGACCUAGAGACCGGCGCACGGGUGCGUAACGCGUGUGCAAUCUACCUUUCACAGAGGGAUAGCCCAGAGAAAUUUGGAUUAAUACCUCAUAGUAUUAUAGAAUGGCAUCAUUUUAUAAUUAAAGUCACAACGGUGAAAGAUGAGCAUGCGUCCCAUUAGCUAGUUGGUAUGGUAACGGCAUACCAAGGCUACGAUGGGUAGGGGUCCUGAGAGGGAGAUCCCCCACACUGGUACUGAGACACGGACCAGACUCCUACGGGAGGCAGCAGUGAGGAAUAUUGGUCAAUGGGCGCAAGCCUGAACCAGCCAUGCCGCGUGCAGGAUGACGGUCCUAUGGAUUGUAAACUGCUUUUGUACGGGAAGAAACGCUCCUACGUGUAGGAACUUGACGGUACCGUAAGAAUAUGGAUCGGCUAACUCCGUGCCAGCCGCCGCCGUAA
rnacentral:rRNA from 1 species